UACGUAGGGGGCGAGCGUUGUCCGGAUUUAUUGGGCGUAAAGAGCUCGUAGGCGGUUUGGCAAGUCGGGUGUGAAAACUCCGGCUCAACUCGGAGACGCCACUCGAUACUGCUAUGACUCGAGUCCGGUAGGGGAGUGCGGAAUUCCUGGUGUAGCGGUGAAAUGCGCAGAUAUCAGGAGGAACACCGGUGGCGAAGGCGGCACUCUGGGCCGGAACUGACGCUGAGGAGCGAAAGCGUGGGAGCGAAC
rnacentral:rRNA from 1 species